GUUUUCGCCAACAUUUACCACUACAGUGUUCACAAUUUAUUUAUUAUUUCCUUGUUAUGGUAUGUUUUUCAUGAAAGAUUGAUUUAUUUUAUUUUCUAAUUUUUAACGAAUCAUUUACUUUAAAGUAUAGGAACUUAUAUAUUUGUUGGAUUUAAAAUACUUAAAUCAAUAUUUUUUUUAAAUUUUUAAGUGAAACCUAUUAUUAAAAAACUUACUUAUUGAGAAUAAACAAUCAUAUUAUAAACUUCAUUUUAGAGACCUAGAGAAAUUAGAAGCUACAAACUGGGAGGAUAUUUACAAUGUUUGUGGAAGAUGUAAAGUAUUAACAUUGAUGGCUAAAACUCUCGCAGAGUUAUGAAACUAUAUUAUGAUAAUGGUUUUAAACAUAAGCAGUACCUAGGUAUAUGGAUUCAAUUUGUCUACAUUUUUAUUAGACUAUUUUAAUUAAAGGAAAUGCAGGAUUCAAAAAUAAAAAAAAAAAUACUUACACCA